GUAGACGGAGGGAAACGAUGACGCUUGGUUGCUUUAUAAAAUAAUAUGAGUAGCUCCAGAAUAGAGAAAUACACCGCCUACCGCCUACCGCCUACCGCCUUGAAGAUGCCACAAACCCUUUCCCACUGGUUACUUCCUUCGCCUUUAUCGAAAACUAAAUCUUUUAUUCUAGAAUGCCAACUGUAGCGUGUUUGAUUUUGUUUGCAGAAUGCCAACUGUAGCGUGUUUGAUUUUUGCUUCCAUUUUCCCAGACUUUGGUUUGACUUUAGUAAUUUGGAAAGAAUUUUAGGAGAAUGAAGUGUGUUUUAGCUCUGCCUGCCCAGAAAUUCAUAUUCAAUAGGCGGGAGUAGAGUGACAGCAGGGAGAAUAUGGUUAGUUGUAUUGAUCCUCUUGCGUUUCCAGUUGCUUUUGAAGACUUUGAGGAAUGGCGUGAAACUGGAAAUGGAAUUGAGACUCUUAAAGUUGAAUCCAAGAAAAAAAGAAAAUCCAGUAGUCAAAAAACUGCUGAGGGGCAUGGCAAGGUUCCGAAGGUUUCUCCUUAUUUUCAGAAUGACAAGAAAACAGUGAAUGUUGAAGUGCUUGAACAUGAAACUGAUUUUGAUUCUAUUACCAACUCUGGUGAAAAAAUUGCAAUUGAAAAUUUUGAAUUCCAAGGUAAGAGAACAUCUGCAAAGAACAAGACAGUGGAGCAUGCUCAAGUUCAAAAGGUUUCUCCUUUUUCUCAAAGUAACAGUGGGAAGAAGGUUGAUCAUGAAUCAUGUUGUUCUGACUGUGAGAUUGGAUUCAGUCCCAUAUCUAGUACUGGUGGUGAUUUCCUUGAGAAAAAGAAGAAAGUCGUUGAAAAUAAUCUGCAAGUGAAUGGAAACGACACAAAUGCUUAUGUUAAUACCAAGAACAUGAAAUUUAUGGCUCUGAAAAAUGUAGUCCAGGUUGGUGUUAGAUAUGUUUCCCCUUAUUAUCAGAAUGACAAUGGGAAGAAGUUUAAUGUUCAGCCACUGAAAAUCAAGUCUGCAUCCAUGGUUUUACCUACCUUUGGAAAUUUAAUGGAGGAUAAACUGGUGGAAAAUAAUGGAAGGAAGAAUAUUAUACACAAGGUACUUGAAACUCAUGCUGAUUCUAUUGCAUUAAUAUCUGAGGAUGAACCUCAAAACAUUGGAAAUGAAAUUCAGACCUCUAAAAUUGAAUCAAUGAAGAGAAAAUCCAACAGCACAAAAACAGCCCAGGAGCAUGCCAAGGUACGGAAGGUUUCUCCUUAUUUUCAGAAUGACAGUGAGAAGGCAGUUAAUGUAAAAGUCCAGGAGCUUGAAAGUGACACUGAUUCUGUAGCUUUAAUGGGUACUUGUACUUUUGGACAUAAAAUUCCAAUUGAAAUGUUUAAAUAUGAAGGAAAGAAGGAUGAACCUCAAAACAUUGGAAAUGAAAUUCAGACCUUUAAAAUUGAAUCAAUGAAGAGAAAAUCCAACAGCACAAAAACAGCCCUGCAGCAUGCCAAGGUACGGAAGGUUUCUCCUUAUUUUCAGAAUGACAGUGAGAAGGCAGCUAAUGUAAAAGUCCAUGAGCUUGAAAAUGACACUGAUUCUGUAGCUUUAAUGGGUACUUGUACUUUUGGACAAAAUAUUCCAAUUGAAAUGUUUAAAUAUGAAGGAAAGAGGACAUCUGAAAAGGAAGAGACAACUGAACAUGCUCAAAUUCAAAAGGUUUCUCCUUUCUUUCAAAGCAACAAUGUGAAAAAGGUUGGUGCUGAAUUAUGUUGUGCUGGUGGUAUGCUCCUUGAGCAUAAGCCGCUGGGAGAUGGAAAUGUAACUGAAAAUGGAUUGAUUAAUAUCAAGAAGAAAACCAUUUCCAAUAAACGGCAGGGGAAUGGAAAUGAUACCACUAGUAAAGUUAAAUUCAAGAAGACCAAACCUCUAGUUCAGAAGAAUGUUGCCAAUGGUAUUAGAUAUGUUUCCCCUUAUUUUCAUAGUGAUAGUGGGAAGAAGAUUGACGUGAAGACAAAGCCUCUAGUUCAGAAAAACGUUGCCCAUGCUAUUAGAUAUGUUUCCCCUUAUUUUCAUAAUGACAGUGGGAAGAAGAUUGACGUGAAGACAAAGCCUCUAGCUCAGAAGGAUGAACCUCAAAACAUUGGAAAUGAAAUUCAGACCUUUAAAAUUGAAUCAAUGAGGAGAAAAUCCAACAGCACGAAAACAGCCCAGGAGCAUACCAAGGUACGGAAGGUUUCUCCUUAUUUUCAGAAGGACAGUGAGAAGCCAGUUAAUGUAAAAGUCCAUGAGCUUGAAAAUGACACUGAUUCUGUAGCUUUAAUGGGUACUUGUACUUUUGGACAUAAAAUUCCAAUUGAAAUGUUUAAAUAUGAAGGAAAGAGGACAUCUGAAACGGAAGAGAUAACUGAACAUGCUCAAAUUCAAAAGGUUUAUCCUUUCUUUCAAAGCAACAAUGUGAAAAAGGUUGGUGCUGAAUUAUGUUGUGCUGGUGGUAUGCUCCUUGAGCAUAAGCCGCAGGGGGAUGGAAAUGUAACUGAAAAUGGAUUGAUUAAUAUCAAGAAGAAAACCAUUUCCAAUAAACGGCAGGGGAAUGGAAAUGAUACCACUAGUAAAGUUAAAUCCAAGAGGACGAAACCUCUAGUUCAGAAGAAUGUUGCCAAUGGUAUUAGAUAUGUUUCCCCUUAUUUUCAUAGUGAUAGUGGGAAGAAGAUUGACGUGAAGACAAAGCCUCUAGUUCAGAAAAACGUUGCCCAUGCUAUUAGAUAUGUUUCCCCUUAUUUUCAUAAUGAUGGUGGGAAGAAGAUUGACGUGAAGACAAAGCCUCUAGCUCAGAAAAAUGUUGCCCAUGCUAUUAGAUAUGUUUCCCCUUUGGAUGAGGGAGGCAAGUUGGAAUCUAUUGCUUUACACACUGCUGAAAAUUUUGUGGAGGAAAAUAAAUCCAGUGAAAAAUCUAUUGAAAUUAAAAGAAAUCUUUCUGCUUCUGAGAAGUGGGACGAGGCAUAUGAAAGAAAAACCCCUGAUAAUGCAUGGAAGCCUCCACGGUCUGCGAUUGUUCUCAUUCAAGAGAAUCAUGCUCAUGACCCUUGGAGGGUAUUGGUUAUCUGCAUGCUUCUCAACCGGACUUCUGGUACACAGAUGAUCCUCUCUUCACACCUCUCCUUGAGUUUCUGGCAGUGUAUGUUUUGUUCAUGACUUGUCCCUAGGGCUAGACAAUCUUUCUGCUUGUGCUAUCAAAUGUGUCUUCUUAGGCUAUUCUCGACGUCAAAAAAGGUACCAAUGUUACUCUUCUGAAACCAAGAAGCACUACAUGACUGCCUAUGUUACAUUCUUUGAAUAGACUCCUUACUUCUCUUCAUCUAUUCAAGAUGUUCAUUUCCUCCAGCAGGUCCUCCUAUAUUCAAGAUGUUAAUUUCUCUCCAAUAUUUCCAAUGUCUUUGUCAAUCCAAGUCUUGAUCCAAGGAGACGUCGUACAUCAUUAGCAAAAAUGUUUUGUGCCCUUUUCCAAAAAGAGAAGCAUGUCUUAUAAGGUCUCAAAAUUUCUAAGACCUCUUGCUUAACAAAUUACCAUAAAACAACACAUAACUGAAACUCCAGCUUUUUCUACUUAGGUUUUUCUUCAUCCAAAACAGUAGAGACAUCUUGUUCAAGAUGAUUAUGGUAUCCUUGACCAAGAAACCACAUAUGCAAGACUAAAAUAAAUAAUUUUUCCAAUUGAGCUUUGCAGUGGUAAUAGUAGUAGUAGUAGAUAGAGAGGAAGUCAUUCCAAUAGGAGAAGUGAUGCCAUUCCAAAAGAAAAACAGCUUUGAGAGGAAAACCCUAGGAUUCAAAAAAAAUUUAGCUUUGAGGAAAAAACCCUAGGUCAAAGUUACAACUAACGAAAUAGAAGGAUAAAGACAACAACACGUUCAGGAGGCUCUGGCGAGGCGACGGUGUGGUGUGAUUCCAACACUAAGAAGGCGACGCGUGACGAAAACGUGCCUAAAGUUGGCUAGAAAAAGAUGGCACAUGCAAAGGUUUCUGAGGUGGAGACAUCUAGGGCUGAGUCAUGCUUCUUGAGGUGGACCUAAUCUUGACUUUGCCGAAGAAGAUGCAAUGGCGGACGACGGUGGCGACAGCAGCGGGAAUGGCAAAAACAGUGGAGGACAACCACGCCAAUGAUGGACAGGGAAGAUGAAAUGACAAAAAAGAUUGUGUCAGACUUCUUCAAGUUAUGUCCGGAUGCGAAAUCUUGCACAGAAGUUGCAAGAGAGGAAAUAGAAGAGACAAUAAAAACUCUAGGUUUUCAACACAAAAGAGCAAAUAUGGUACAAC